rnacentral:rRNA from 1 species
GAUGAACGCUGGCGGCGUGCCUAAUACAUGCAAGUCGAGCGAACAGACGAGGAGCUUGCUCCUUUGACGUUAGCGGCGGACGGGUGAGUAACACGUGGAUAACCUACCUAUAAGACUGGGAUGACUUCGGGAAACCGGAGCUAAUACCGGAUAACAUGUUGAACCGCAUGGUUCAACAGUGAAAGACGGUCUUGCUGUCACUUAUAGAUGGAUCCGCGCCGCAUUAGCUAGUUGGUAAGGUAACGGCUUACCAAGGCAACGAUGCGUAGCCGACCUGAGAGGGUGAUCGGCCACCCUGGAACUGAGACACGGUCCAGACUCCUACGGGAGGCAGCAGUAGGGAAUCUUCCGCAAUGGGCGAAAGCCUGACGGAGCAACGCCGCGUGAGUGAAGAAGGUCUUCGGAUCGUAAAACUCUGUUAUUAGGGAAGAACAAAUGUGUAAGUAACUAUGCACGUCUUGACGGUACCUAAUCAGAAAGCCACGGCUAACUACGUG